CUAAAAACGCUCUGUUUUUCACAAAUAACCCAAACAUUCGUAAGAAUUCAAUCACCGCUCCUUUGUUCCAUCUCUCGACCCCGACUGCAUCUGGCGACGCCGCGACCCCGCCGCCGGCCUGCGUCGUCCGCCGCCCCCAGCCGGCCCACGCUAUGCCUGCAUCGGCAACAUCUCUCCCCUACAGCCGCCGGCCUCUGCCCUCUCCGCACGCGACCUCCUGUCCCUUCCCUUCUCUUCCCCCCAGAUCGAGAAGGGAGGCCAUGGCGCUUUGGCCGUGGCUGGAUCCAGACCAAUCGAUUAGUGGUUCUGCCCGCCCGCUCACCGUCGCGGUAUAUUUGCAGAAAAGUCCUUCUACUUUUUAUGAAUUCAACUCGCGCUCCUCAUGGUAAGUCAACCGAACAGUUAUGCGCAAGAGUAAAAAAAAGAAAAAUACCGGCAGGCCCGUGCUCCCAAUCCCAUCUUCCCAUCCAGCAAGGCAGCGACCACUCAAAAAAAAAAAAAAAUCUUCCCGUCCAGCGCGCUGCCACCUCCUGCCAUGCCCCGCCCUGACUCAUAGUGCGCCACCGGGGCCGCCGCGCGCCGCCACCUCCAACCCGCCUCCCACCUCCAACCCUCUUCCGUUCAGCGUGGUCGUGACUGACGACGCGCGCCUCCUCUGGGAAGAGUCCGUGGGGAAGCAGAGGCCGCGGAGGCAAGGCGACCUCACAUCCCACCCCGACCUCCGGCGGCGCUCCUCCCAGAUCAUACCCAACCCCCGCGCCAUCUGGGGCCCUCCCCCACGCCAUUGCAGAAUCCCAUAUGUGGGGAGGAGGCAGCCCAUAGCCAGGAGCACAGUCAGAUCCAGCCGGUCGACCACAAUGCCCAUGGAGCGCGGGGGAGCAACACGGCCUGACCUGGCAGGGUGGACGCGACUGCAGGCCGUUGCUGAUUUGUGUUCGAAGAGGUGCAGCUAUCGGAGAGCAGCAACAGAGUGACUUGCCUGCGCUCAUUGUUGGUUGCAAACAAGUGAGUUGGUCAGCUGAGAUGGAGUUCAGCAGGAUGGCUAGACAGGCCCAACUUGGUAUUAGUCUUCUCUAAAAUUUUACAUAGAAGGUUUUUCCUAGAUCUAGCAGCAGCGCCGCAGCCAGAGCCGGCACAAGCAAACCCGCCGUGGGCUGAGAGGGGAAGGAGCAGAAGGGGAAGCUGAGGUGUGAUGGGCCGCAGAAGACUUCGCGGAGGCGACGGCUGCGGUCGGCGAGCUCUCGGACUUCCAGCAGCGGCACACUGUCCCCAAACCGACGAGAUCCACAUCAACGGUGCUGAGCCCUCCAUUGCAACAUCGAACAACAACGGAGACAAUACACCCGAGGUGGGCUCCUACAUGCCAGAGAUGAUCUUUGGCCCUCAAGAAAUACAUGCAGGUGAGGCUGAGAGUUUUACAGUUUGAUAUUUUGCUUUUGGUGUUUCGGGUCGAUUAGUUAGUUAGAUAAAAAGGAUAUCCGACAAAUCGACGUGCUAUGUGACUGUAGUUGAGUUUGGUUGCCAACCACACUAGAAUUCAGAAUCUGCCCAUACCCCAUAUUGGAGUGCACGACCGCAGUUCUCUUUUGACCAUGAAUGGUAUCUUGAUAGUAGUUUUUUUGGGAGUAAAGUAUCUUGAUAGUAGUUGGAGUAUCUGCACUAUUUAUCUGGGCAAAGCAGAUAAAAAUUCUGCAGGAUCAGUCCAAAAAAAUUCGCCUAUAUGAACUGCUUAGGAGGAGUUCCGCCACAGCAGGUCACACCCAUCGCCGGUCAGUAAAUGGUGCUUUGUGCUGAAGGAGUCGAUCCGAGAAAUGCUUUAAUCACAUGCACAUGGUGCUUUGUGGAUGCUUGCUCUCGUCAUACUAUCAAGCAAUGGUUCAAAUCUCAUCAAGGUUAUAUAUUGCUUUGACUAUGAAUCCCGAGUUUCUUAUGCCAUAAUUAAACAAUUAUCUCUUUUCAAGUGCUUAUUCAUGGAAUAGGAGUUGUUCAGCACAAUCUUAAAGUGAGCCUAUUUAGAACUUAGGAUUUCCUUGGACACUUUUGGUAGAUAUAUUAGUUAAGGAGUUCCUUUUGUUCUGCCCGUAUUUUACCUCGUUAAUAUUUCAAGUAAUAUUUGUUGUAGACAAAAUAAGUUUUUUUAUCAAAACAUUCAUGGCAUGCAUACCUUUAUGAGUUAUUUAAAAGGCAAACCCAUCUGAUUUUUUUUACACUUCAAACUGAUUUAUAUGCAUGCAGCUAUUGGCCGAAAGCAUCAUUUUAGUUUUACUGAACUGUCAAAAAGUGCAUGUUCUCUUAUAAUCCAAAGCCUGAUCCCAAGGUUGUGAAUGCAUGUGCUUCUUAAUAUUAGUCUAAAAAGAAGCGGAAAUCCCUUUUGGAGCUCAGCCUCCAAAUUCAAAUUUGAAAUUUCAUCAAAAUUCAUAUUUUUACAUUUUAAAAAAUUGUGAAAAAAUACAGAUAUAUAUGAAGGCAUAACACACAUGUGUGUAAAUUUUUAGUUCAAAAUACAUUGAAAUGAGGGCUGUUCAAAAAAGACAAAUCUGGGGCUGUUUAAUACAUGAUACUAUUCAUCCUCCCAGGUGAAGAAUUUGUCUUUUUUUGUACAGGUCGCAACUCAAGGUAUCUCAUCGUGAAUUUUUUACACACAUGUGGGUUUCAUCCUUACAUACAUGCAUAUUUAUUUUCAAAAAAAAUUGAACAUAAAAGUUUGAAUUUGAAUUUUUCAAAAAUAAAGGCCUCCAUGGAGCUUGGCUUCCAAAACACCUCUCUCAGAAAGAAGUGCUUAUUAAAGGGUGUGCUUUUUUGCAAAAUAAAUAAAUGAUAUAAAGCGUGUGCUAAAUGUGAACAUAAGUAACUUAGAAAAUACCUAUCUUUCUUAAUACAUAUCUCUAUUUUGCAUUGAACUUCAAUUUAUUAUUUUUAUUUACUAUGCAUUCAGUUGAGUUGUAAAAUUUAGGGUUGGCUUCUUAUUACAAAUGGUUCCAGUUUCUUAUUUCUUACUGAUACAUAAUGAACAUUGUUUAAAUUCACUGGCAUCUGCUUUAUAAACCGUUUGCUUGAUCUGCAUGCAUGAUAUCUAUUUACUUGCAUCGCUGUACUGUACUGGCAAUCUCUUUUUAUUUUCAACAAUGCCAAACUACCAAAUUGUUUGUUGGUGUUCAUCUAGAAUUCUUAUGCUUAUUUUUUGCAUGUUUCUCUUAGCAUUGUUACUGUAAUCACAAACAGCCGCUUCCAUUACUGUACUUCCUGUAUGUUCAUGACUCUAUCUUAGUUUUACCUGUGUUUCAUGCAUUAUACAAACAUGCCUGAAUAAUGUAAAAAAAUUCCCUUGGUGUUAUCUCUGGUUCAUGGCAACUGGUGUUUGCUUUGUAGUAAACCAACACAUUAAUAUUUUUUUCUCCCGUUGCAA